GUGCUCGGUCCAGGGAGUGGCACUAUUUGGAGGUGUGGCUCUGUUGGAGUGGAUGUGGUCCUGUUGCAGUAGGUGUGUCACUGUGGGUGUGGGCUUUAAGACUCUCACCCUAGCUGCCUGGAAGUCAGUAAGCUGCUAGCAGCCUUCAGAUUAAGAUGUAGAACUCUCAGCUCCUCCUGCAUCGUACCUGCCUGGACGCUGCCAUGUUCCUGCCUUGAUGAUAAUGGACUGAACCUCUGAAUCCCAAGUAAGUGUUGUCCUUAUAAGAGUUGCCUUGAACAUGGUGUCUGUUCACAGCAAUAAAGCCCUAAGACAGGAGUUGUGGCCUUGUUGGCAUGGGUGUGACCUCACUGGAGGAAGUGUGUCAUUGUAGGGGUGAGCUCUAAGGCUUCAGAAGCUUAAGCUAGGCCUGAUGGCUCAUUGUCUGUUGCUACUACCUAUGGUUCCAGAUGUAGAACUCUCAGCUGCCUCUCUAGCUCCAUGACUGCCUGCAAGCCACCAUGCUUCCUGCCUUAAUGAUAACGGACUAAGCCUCUGAAAUGUAAGCCAGAGCCAAUUAAAUGUUUUCCUUUAUAAAAGUUGCUGUGGUUGAAGUGUCUCUUUGCGACAAUAAAACACUAAAAGAGUGGUUCACAACUGCCUGCCUGUACCUACAGCUCCAGGGUAGCUAAUACACUCUUCUAGCCUUCAGAGAUGUGCCAACAUACAUGAACAUAU
rnacentral:lncRNA from 1 species